AGAUUAACUUCGGUUAAUUUUAGUGGCGGACGGGUGAGUAACACGUGAGAAUUCGCCUUUAGGAGGGGGAUAACGGAUGGAAACAUUCGCUAAAACCCCAUAUGCCCCUGGGUGAAACAGAGGAGAUAAGUAAUACUGACUCUUACCUCUGCCUGAAGAGAAGCUCGCGGCUGAUUAGCUAGUUGGUAGGGUAAAGGCCUACCAAGGCGACGAUCAGUAGCUGGUCUGAGAGGACGAUCAGCCACACUGGAACUGAGACACGGUCCAGACUCCUACGGGAGGCAGCAGUGAGGAAUUUUCUGCAAUGGGCGAAAGCCUGACAGAGCAAUACCGCGUGAGGGAUGAAGACUUACUGAGUUGUAAACCUCGGUACCUUAAGGAAGAAGAUCUGACGGUACUUAAGGUGGAAAGCAUCGGCUAACUCCGUGCCGGCAGCCGCGGUAAGACGGGGGAUGCAAGUGUUAUCCGGAUUUACUGGGCGUAAAGCGUCUGCAGGUGGUUUUCUAAGUCUACUGUUAAAUCUUGAGGCUCAACCUCAAAUCUGCAGUAGAAACUAGAAGACUUGAGUAUAGUAGGGGUAGAGGGAAUUUCCAGUGGAGCGGUGAAAUGCGUAGAUAUUGGAAAGAACACCGAUGGCGAAGGCACUCUACUGGGCUAUUACUGACACUCAGAGACGAAAGCUAGGGGAGCAAAUGGGAUUAGAUACCCCAGUAGUCCUAGCCGUAAACGAUGGAUACUCGAUGUUGGACGUAUCAACCCGUUCAGUAUCUUAGCUAACGCGUUAAGUAUCCCGCCUGGGGAGUACGCUCGCAAGAGUGAAACUCAAAGGAAUUGACGGGGGCCCGCACAAGCGGUGGAGGAUGUGGUUUAAUUCGAUGCAACGCGAAGAACCUUACCAGGGUUUGCUAGAAGUGUUGGUUUUCUGAAAAGAAUUUCCUUAUUCC
rnacentral:rRNA from 1 species